rnacentral:rRNA from 1 species
UGAACGCUGGCGGCGUGCUUAACACAUGCAAGUCGAACGGAGUUUACAUGUGAGCGGAGGGUGCUUGCAUCUAACAAUCUUUUGUAAACUUAGUGGCGGACGGGUGAGUAACGCGUGAGCAACCUGCCUCAAACAGGGGGAUAACGCAUCGAAAGAUGUGCUAAUACCGCGUAAGACCACAGCACCGCAUGGUGCAGAGGUCAAAGGAGCAAUCCGGUUUGAGAUGGGCUCGCGUCCGAUUAGCUAGUUGGUGAGAUAACAGCCCACCAAGGCGACGAUCGGUAGCCGACCUGAGAGGGUGAUCGGCCACAUUGGAACUGAGAAACGGUCCAGACUCCUACGGGAGGCAGCAGUGGGGAAUAUUGGGCAAUGGGCGAAAGCCUGACCCAGCAACGCCGCGUGAGGGAAGAAGGGUUUCGGCUCGUAAACCUCUGUCCUAUGGGACGAACAAAUGACGGUACCAUAGGAGGAAGCCCCGGCUAACUACGUG